AGUGUUAUGUAUGAGUAGGAUGUAUGUAUGUGUGUAUAAGAGAAAGAGAGUGAGAGAGAAUCGGUAGCACACAUACAACUGUAAUACACAGAGAAGAGAAAGAAGAACGGCGGACGGUGGACGACGUUGUUGGUGGACCAGCCAGCCGGCCGCGCUCGUUCGAGAAGAACCGAGUUAAGUCCAGACGAACGGAGGGGGUACAGCUAAGAGAAGAGGCGGAGAGAGGAGGAGAGACAAAGCGAAACGGAGAGAGCGCCGGUGUCGCAUUCUGACCAACAGCGGUGGGGGAUAUAGUCGAAGUGAGAAAGAAAGAGAUAAAUAGAGGGAGAUCAAAAGGAAGGGGAAAAGAGCGUUUCGGUGGGAAGCGGCUACGGUUCUCGGACGUGUAGAGGGGAUGAAAAUUAGUUACGGCAUCUACCAAGACCUAAAAGGAACUCCGUACUCCGUGCGGUCAGACCACUUCGUGCGAUGUUACGCGUCGAGGUACCCCCGUGCAUCGUCGUCGUCGUCGUCGUUGUCGUUUUUGUUGCCGUCGUUGUUGAUAGUGCCUAUAGUGUUUCACCCUCGUGAACGUACUACGUCCUAUCAUUGUGUUAAAAAAGAAACGUGUGAUUAUUCGUCGACACGCCGUCGACUCAUCGUGAACGACGUGCGAGAUAGUUGUCCGUUAGGUGCCUGUCUCGCGUCAUGGCCCGUGGCAGUAGUGAGUUACUUCCAGAAGGAACUACAGUUAAUAUGGUGCAUCGCAAACAACAACGAUCACUUCACCAUCAUCAUCAACAGCAACAACAGCAGCAGCAACAGCAACCGCAGCAACAGCAACAAUUGCAACAACAGAACGUACGGAAGUCGGUAGCCGUGAUGGGCAGCAGACGCAUAUUCGCGCCGUCCUUCAAGCUCAAGGUCCUCGAUUCUUAUAGGAAUGACAUCGAUUGUCGUGGUAAUCAACGUGCGACAGCAAGAAAGUAUGGAAUACAUCGUCGACAGAUACAAAAGUGGCUGCAGUGUGAAGACAAUUUGAGGAACAGUUGUGCUGAAACAAGUAAUUCGAUAGUGUCAACGUCAUCACCUUCAUUAUCUUCCCCCUCAUCAUCGUCGUCGUCGUCGUCGUCAUCGUCGUCGUCGUCAUUGUCGUCGUUGUCGUCGUCGUCGUCGUCGUCCUCGUCAUCGUCGUCAUUGUCGUCAUCGCCGUCGUCGUCAUCGUCGUCGUCGUCGCCGUCGUCGUCGUCGUCGUCGCCGACUUCAACGACAACGGUGAUCUCGAAGCACGAGGUGACGUUGUCGACGUCGGAAGGGGUUACGAUGCCCGGCGUGACUCCAGCGGUGCCGACGCCGGCCUUGAACCUCGGUCUCGCCAGACUGCACGGCGACGAGUCGGCCGUCCGGCCCGCCCCACCUCCUCUUCCGCCACGUUCUUCUCUGACUCGAGAUUCGCCCUCGUCACCGCGGUACGCGCAUCCGUCCUCCGAAAUCAUUUUACCAGCUACGACGACCACAACGACGAUGACGAUCGUCGGUGGAUACGUUCCACGUGAUCAACACCAACAUCCGCGAUGUCACGCAGAAAUCGAGAAUGGAGCAAUGCAGCAAGUUUCUUCGUUGAUCGAACGCGAAAGGAGCUAUUACGAUUGGAAUAACGUUGAAGAACAACGUAAGCGUGAUCUCGAAAGUACUCAUUACGAUGUCGAUAGCGAGACGAAGAUAUAUGAAACGUUGACGUCGUGUUUCCGACCAUCCCGUCGAGAUCUCCCGUACCCACCAAUCGAGGUCGGUGCAUUAACGAUUACUACUACUACUACUACUACUCUUGGUAACGCCGACUCAUCGUCGAUGGACGGAAAUGCUUACGGCAGAGCUUUAACGCCGUCAAUGAUAAAGACAGAACGAGCUAGUCCAGACUCCGUGGCGACUCCGUGCACGCGAAGUCUCCCUCUCUCUCCUCAACAGGUUCCGCGAGGAGGUGCUAACGAUUGCUGCGCUGGAAAUUCCACGUCUACCGUUCUUUUUAAUACUCGAGAAUCUUUGAAUUCGGAAAAGUUUUCCGAUACAGUUGGAAGAAGAGAUAUCUCAGCUGUUUUCGAAGAAGAAAUGAACGAAGAGGAGAAACGAAGAAGGCUAUUCUGUAGUGUUAAAGUUAAAAAGGAAGAGAUAGACGAGGAGGAAAUAGAAUCAAGAUUAAACGAGGAGGAAGAUGGCGUAUCCUCUUGCGUGGAUUCUCAUCCCGCUCGGCGUAGUUCAUUUCACGUCGACUCCAGAAGUCCCGAGGACGAUCAAGAGGGCAACUAUUCCGAGCCUGGAAGUAGUUCGGCAAGAUCAAGCAGCGGAAGUUGCUCGGAUAGUGAGAUGGACAGUCUCGUCGAAUGUUGCCCUUCGAACGAGGCCAGAACUUCCUCAAACGAUCUGGGCCGUAGGAGAUCGUUCUCUCUGCGCUUUAAACUCGACGUACUCGAUGCUUUCCAUCGGGACAUUGGUGUAGCAGGAAAUCAACGUGCCACUGCGAGGAAGUUUGGUAUAAAUCGUCGCCAGGUACAAAAGUGGCUUGGCCAGGAGAGCGAAUUAAGAGGCGAAAUUGCAUUAAGGGGUAAUGCUCGACAACGACUAGGCCCGAGCCAAGAUCAAACGGUUAUUUCCGUGGACACACCAGUCGAUCUAAGAACUACCAAUUACCUCGCUUCGUCUGCCGCCGAAGAGGAAUGCGUCGACGUUGAAUACAUUGAACGAUCUCCACCACCUCAAGUCCCGCAGAGUCAACAGUUCUAUUGCUGCGAGUUGGCUAGUUCUCCAACACAACUUUUUUCUUAUUAUAACAAUCGUUUAGUCGAUUUAUCGCCGGAGCCCACAUUAGAAUCCUCGAGGAUCUGUGGAUAUCCGUGUUGCGUGGAUACAUCAAAUUCCUCUUGUUAUCAAGAAUUACGCUCCUCCAGAGGGUCCUCCUACGCAGACUCUUUAACCGGACCAUCAUCCUACUGCUACUCAUCACCACGGGAAUACAGCGAGACCUCAGCCGAAGAAUCGCCAACGAAACGACGACGAUGUACGGCUACGUUAUCCUGCUGCUACGACGAGUUUUCUUCCUCGCCAAAGCGACUUCGACUGGAUGCAGACGAAACGCCGCCGCAGGAGACGCCACUCUGUCUGGUCAAACCGAAAAGAUUCCGCGAUGUCUCUCCGUCACUCUCCGUAGAACCAGUCACGAGUACUGUUCCAACUCCUCCGGCCCCGCAACCACCACCACCAACAUCCAACAAAAAAACUCGACGUUCCGAUGGUUCCUCCCUUCUCCUAUUGAAAAAAGAAAAGAAAAACGAACAAACAAACAAACAAACAAACAAACAAAACAAAAAACACAAAGAAGGAGAAAGAAAGAGGAUAUCUCAAAGUAGUAACAGAGAGCUUCUCGAAUUCCUCGAUCUCGUGCCGAUCGAUCUACGAGUACACAUUAGAACUACAGAUAAGUAAGAGUCAACCGGCUGCAAGUUGCACGAGCGAUGCACCAGCGAUGCAUUAUUUCCGUUAUCGCGGACGAUUGGCAGCGUGAACGAGCGACGGUCAUACACGUACUCGUUAAACUUUCUAAGCACGCCACGCUAAGCACUUGGGUACCUAUAUGUAUACGUAUAUGUAUAGCAUAUACGUACGUAAUGUAUAUACAUAAUAUACAUAAAGAAAAGCACUAACACAUAAUGCAUAUAAGCGUGAAGUAGUAAGUAUUGACGCACAAUAAAAUCCCAACGUAUCCAAGCGCGUUCUUCUUCACGUUGACGCACAUGAUAAACAAAAAAGAAAACGAAAGGAAGAAAAGUUUUUCUCAACUUUUCCUUGAAAAAGUUGACAAAAAGUAACGCAACCAAGCGAAUACAUACCAAAGGAUAGCCAAGGAAGAACCGCGAUUAGAGUGGAAUAAUUUAAGUCGUGACAUCAAAACGACCGUCACAUUCGAGCAGCAAUUUGACUGGGAAAACCUUCAGUGAACGCUCCUGCCGCUCUCGAGAGUCAUUUUCACGAUGGCGGCUAAUUAUAAAGCGCACUUGCACUCAAAGAGAUAGGGACAAGCGAGAACACGCGUUCUUGAAGGCGCAUAACGACAGAGAUGAAGAGAAAGAGAGAGAGAGAGAGAGAGAGAGGAGAGAGAAAGAUGGAGACAAAGGCACGCAUCGUGAUCCUUCCCUCGGUAUAGUAGAAAAAGCGUCGUUUGUCUCGUUUCUGUCGUUGCGAAAGGCAACGCCGAAGUUGUACGUAUAUAUUUUUAUCCUACGCUCGUGCCUUUCUUAACUUCUUUCUGCCCUUUUCCCUUCUCUCCUCUGCUCGUUUCUUUUUCAUCUUUGACUUAAUCCUUUUCUUCGAGGAAACAUCAGUCAGGAGAUACGAAAGAUUCGCUAUCGAAACUAAUAAUAUCUCGAUUAAUUUUCUUAGAAAAUCUUUUAGUGAUCUAUUUUUUUUUUCUUCUUCUUCUUUUUUUUCAGUUCGCAAAAGAAAAAUCAAAGGAUAUCGUUCCAUGAUCAAUAUAUCUGGAAUUAAAAUUCUAUUGUUAAUGGAUUAAAUAACGAUUAUAGAAAGACACAGUACAU